rnacentral:rRNA from 1 species
UGCAGUCGACGAGAAGUUUCCUUCGGGAAAUUAGUAAAGUGGCGCAAGGGUGAGUAUCACGUGAAUAAUCUGCCCUCGAGAUCGGGAUAACAUGGUGAAAACUAUGCUAAUACCGGAUAAGACCACAUUUCAUAAGAAAUGCGGUAAAAGGAGUCUCAAUCUUCACUCGAGGAUGAGUUCGCGCAACAUUAGCUUGUUGGUGAGAUAAAAGCUCACCAAGGCUACGAUGUUUAGCCGGCCUGAGAGGGUGAACGGCCACACUGGAACUGAGACACGGUCCAGACUCCUACGGGAGGCAGCAGUGGGGAAUAUUGCGCAAUGGGCGAAAGCCUGACGCAGCAACGCCGUGUGAGCGAUGAAGGCUUUAGGGUCGUAAAGCUCUGUCAAAUGGGAAGAAUUUUGACGGUACCAUUAGAGGAAGCCCCGGCUAACUCCGUGCCAGCAGCCGCGGUAAUACGGAGGGGGCAAGCGUUGUUCGGAAUUAUUGGGCGUAAAGCGUAUGUAGGCGGCUAAGUAAGUCAGGCGUGCAAGCCCGUGGCUCAACCACGGAAUUGCGUUUGAAACUGUUUAGCUUGAGUGCAGGAGAGGAAAGCGGAAUUCCCAGUGUAGCGGUGAAAUGCAUUGAUAUUGGGAAGAACAUCUGUGGCGAAGGCGGCUUUCUGGUCUGUUACUGACGCUGAGAUACGAAAGCCAGGGUAGCGAACGGGAUUAGAUACCCCGGUAGUCCUGGCUGUAAACGAUGGGCACUAGGUGCAGGAGGUAUCGAUCCCCUCUGUGCCGUAGCUAACGCGUUAAGUGCCCCGCC